rnacentral:rRNA from 1 species
CCUACGGGGGGCAGCAGUGAGGAAUAUUGGUCAAUGGGCGCGAGCCUGAACCAGCCAAGUAGCGUGAAGGAUGACUGCCCUACGGGUUGUAAACUUCUUUUAUAAAGGAAUAAAGUGAGGCACGUGUGCCUUUUUGUAUGUACUUUAUGAAUAAGGAUCGGCUAACUCCGUGCCAGCAGCCGCGGUAAUACGGAGGGUCCGAGCGUUAUCCGGAUUUAUUGGGCUGAAAGGGAGCGUAGAUGGGUUGGUAAGUCAGAUGGGAAAGUUUGCGGCUCAACCGUAAAAUUGCAAUUGAUACUGGCAGUCUUGAGUGCAGUUGAGGUAGGCGGAAUUCGUGGUGUAGCGGUGAAAUGCUUAGAUAUCACGAAGAACUCCGAUUGCGAAGGCAGCUUACUAAACUGCCACUGACAUUGAUGCUCGAAAGUGUGGGUAUCAAACAGGAUUAGAUACCCGAGUAGUC